UCCGGGGGGGGCAAGCGUUGUUCGGAAUUACUGGGCGUAAAGGGCGCGUAGGCGGUUGGCUAAGUCAGCUGUGAAAACCACGGGCUUAACUCGUGGCCUGCAGUUGAGACUGUCUGGCUUGAGUGUGGGAGAGGAGAGUGGAAUUCCUGGUGUAGCGGUGAAAUGCGUAGAUAUCAGGAGGAACACCGGUGGCGAAGGCGGCUCUCUGGACCACAACUGACGCUGAGGCGCGAAAGCUAGGGGAGCAAACAGG
rnacentral:rRNA from 1 species